rnacentral:rRNA from 1 species
AACGAACGCUGGCGGCAUGCCUAACACAUGCAAGUCGAACGAGACCUUCGGGUCUAGUGGCGCACGGGUGCGUAACGCGUGGGAACCUGCCCUUAGGUUCGGAAUAACUCCCCGAAAGGGGUGCUAAUACCGGAUAAUGUCUUCGGACCAAAGAUUUAUCGCCUUUGGAUGGGCCCGCGUUUGAUUAGCUAGUUGGUAGGGUAAAAGCCUACCAAGGCGACGAUCCAUAGCUGGUCUGAGAGGAUGAUCAGCCACACUGGGACUGAGACACGGCCCAGACUCAUACGGGAGGAAGCAGUGGAGAAUAUUGGAGAGUGGGCGAGAGAGUGAUGCAGCAAUGCCGGGUGAGUGAUGAAGGCCUUAGGGUUGUAAAGCUCUUUCACCCGUGAUGAUAAUGACAGUACCGGGAGAAUAAGCGCCGGCUAACUACGUG